CCUACGGGAGGCAGCAGUGGGGAAUAUUGCACAAUGGGGGAAACCCUGAUGCAGCGACGCCGCGUGAGUGAAGAAGUAUUUCGGUAUGUAAAGCCCUAUCAGCAGGGAAGAAAAUGACGGUACCUGAGUAAGAAGCCCCGGCUAACUACGUGCCAGCAGCCGCGGUAAUACGUAGGGGGCAAGCGUUAUCCGGAUUUACUGGGUGUAAAGGGAGCGUAGAUGGCAGUGCAAGCCUGGAGUGAAAGGCGGGGGCUAAACCCCCGGACUGCUCUUGAAACUGGCCGGCUGGAGUGCAGGAGAGGUAAGCGGAAUUCCUGGUGUAGCGGUGAAAUGCGUAGAUAUCAGGAGGAACACCAGUGGCGAAGGCGGCUUACUGGACUGUAACUGACGUUGAGGCUCGAAAGCGUGGGGAGCAAACAGGAUUAGAUACCCCAGUAGUC
rnacentral:rRNA from 1 species